rnacentral:rRNA from 1 species
CAUAAGAGGUCCAGCCUGCCCAGUGACUAAGUUCAACGGCCGCGGUAUCCUAACCGUGCGAAGGUAGCGUAAUCACUUGUUCUUUAAAUGAGGACUAGUAUGAAUGGCACCACGAGGGUUAUGCUGUCUCCUUUUUCUAAUCAAUGAAACUGAUCUCCCCGUGAAGAAGCGGGGAUGCAAAUAUAAGACGAGAAGACCCUAUGGAGCUUUAAACCAUGUAACACUGGCUUCCACAUAUAAUAUUUCAGAAUUAUCAUAAUUAUUCUAGCCAUUAUGAUUACUAGUUUUAGGUUGGGGUGACCACGGAGCAAAAAUUAACCUCCAUGUUGAAAGGAGCUUUUCCUGAGCCCUAAGCCACGACUUUAAGCACUAACAAAUUAACAUUAAUUGACCCAAUAUUUUGAUCAACGAACCAAGUUACCCUAGGGAUAACAGCGCAAUCCAUUUUAAGAGCCCCUAUCGACAAAUGGGUUUACGACCUCGAUGUUGGAUCAGGAUAUCCCAGUGGUGCAGCCGCUACUAAAGGUUCGUUUGUUCAACGAUUAAAACCCU